rnacentral:rRNA from 1 species
GGAGUGGGGGAUAACGUAGCGAAAGUUACGCUAAUACCGCAUACGAUCUAAGGAUGAAAGUGGGGGAUCGCAAGACCUCAUGCUCCUGGAGCGGCCGAUAUCUGAUUAGCUAGUUGGUGGGGUAAAGGCCCACCAAGGCUUCAUCAGUAGCUGGUCUGAGAGGACGGCCCGCCACACUGGAACUGAGACACGGUCCAGACUCCUACGGGAGGCAGCAGUGGGGAAUUUUGGACAAUGGGCGCAAGCUUGAUCCAGCAAUGCCGCGUGAGUGA